UACGGGGGGGGCAAGCGUUGUUCGGAAUUACUGGGCGUAAAGGGUUCGUAGGUGGCUCGCUAAGUCAGACGUGAAAUCCCUCAGCUUAACCGGGGAACUGCGUCUGAUACUGGAUGGCUUGAGUUCGGGAGAGGGAUGCGGAAUUCCAGGUGUAGCGGUGAAAUGCGUAGAUAUCUGGAGGAAUACCGGUGGCGAAGGCGGCAUCCUGGACCGGCAUUGACGCUGAGGAGCGAAAGCCAGGGGGGCAAACGGG
rnacentral:rRNA from 1 species